UACGUAGGGUGCGAGCGUUGUCCGGAAUUAUUGGGCGUAAAGAGCUUGUAGGCGGUUUGUCGCGUCUGCCGUGAAAAUUCGAGGCUCAACCUCGAACUUGCGGUGGGUACGGGCAGACUAGAGUGUGGUAGGGGAGACUGGAAUUCCCGGUGUAGCGGUGAAAUGCGUAGAUAUCGGGAGGAACAUCAGUGGCGAAGGCGGCUGCCUGGCCCAAUACUGACACUCAGGUGCGACAGCGUGGGGAGCAAACAGG
rnacentral:rRNA from 1 species